AAGAGAGCCCACACCAUCUCCUUAUGAAGGUCUUCAAAUUCAUUCAAGUUGCUGGGCCCAGCAGUGAGGAUGAGGAUGACUACCAGGUAGAGGUUACAGGCUCAUCGACCCUGGUUCAUGUGGAAGUAAGAGAUGUUCGACAUGGGACUAAUCAAUGUGUAUAUUUACUGUGAAGUUUACCCAAGGAGGAAAGAGGAAACCAGCUGCAUGAAUGGAAUUUGGAGAAAGCCACAAGAAUGCUACUCACAGAUUGUGUGUGGCAUGUUUUGCACUGAGGAACAAGAAAGAACAUUGCAUCGACCACGACAUAAUUACACUUCCUUCUGCACAACUUCAUCCAUGCCUGGCGUGUGGACUCUGCCCAGGUCUGGCUGUGAACCCUGCAAAACCACGAUGCAA